UACAAGUCAAUUCAUGUCUGAGCAAUUCACUUUACAAAUACUCAAUGUUUUGUCAUCAUCAAAAAGGGGAAGAUUGUGGAGUGAUUGAUUAAACCUCUAUUUGAUUUUGAUGAGCUCAAAGCAUUUGAGUAUAUCUUAUGUUAUACUAAUUAAUUCAAUCUAGUAUUUCAGACAUAUAUGUGUAUAUUUUCAAUUAAGUGCCUCAAGCUUUGGUUCAAAAUAAGUUGGAUAAGUAUUGAACCCUAUUUGAACCAAGGGCUGAUUCUCGAGUCAACUCCGGAAGAUUACGAGUCGACUCCAAAUGGUUCAGAGUUUCUGGCAUGAGCUCGAGUCGACUCCGAUACUCUACGAGUCGACUCCGACUGAGAACAGAAAGAAAGACAGAAAGAUGGUUUUCAGACUCUGUUAGCGAGCCGACUCCAAA
rnacentral:lncRNA from 1 species